ensembl:lncRNA
GUGCAAGGGGAGUUUGAGUGCUCUUAGUGUUCUACAUGUUUCAGGUUUUUUUUUUUUUAAUGGCGUUUGCUGAGGUUGUGGACUCAUUUCUUUUCAACUGCAGUUCAUAUUGGCUGUUGAUUCCUUGGCCUUCCCUAUCCUCUGCAGUUUCCCGGGUCAAAGCUCUUAUAUAUUCAUGUUAUUGUUUCUCUUAGUAUGGCUGUGUUUAAUAAGUCUACUCUGGGUGCUUUGGUUUCCUCCCACAGUCUAAAAGUUAUGUGUUUGAAGGUCAAGUGAUGACUCUGGAUUGUCAAAAGGUGCAUAUGUGACUGAAUAAGUGUGUGUAAUUGUUUUACCAGGAACUGUGUCGCUUCCAGGGUACACUCUGCCAUGUACCCUGUCUUUUUCGAAAUAGGGUCCAAAUCUCUGUGACCCUGUGGUUAUUAGUAAUGAAAAGAUAUCAAACACUUGGAAGAUUACAAUACACACACACACUUUCUGAACCGCUUGUCCCAUACGGGGUCGCGGGGAACCGGAGCCUACCCGGUAACACAGGGCGGAAGGCUGGAGGAGGAGGGGACACACCCAGGACGAGACGCCAGUCCGCCGCAAAGCACCCCAAGCAGGACUCGAACCCCAGACCCACCCGAGAGAAGGACCCGGUUCAACCCACUGCGCCACCGCGCCCCUCUCGAUUACAAUACACCUGUACCUCAAUUUAAAAACACAAAUGUGACUGGAAUUCUGGUCAUAAUUCAAACUAUUUCAUUUUAAAUACUUUGUUUCUCAUUUUUGCUGCAAAAUUGGUCAUAAUGAAGCAAUUGAUUCAUUACAGAAACAUGUUUAUAGCCAUUUGGUCGUUUGUGGCUCACAUUCAAAAAGUGUAAUAGUAGAUACCUUCCUGUAGCCGCUGAGUAGUUUUUGUCCAUCUCAGUAGUUUAAAAAGAAAAGAAACUGCAAUUAAAACUGAAUAAAUAUUUGAAAAUGUGAACCUCAUUUUCGUAACAUGCAAAUUAUAACUACCCCCCCCCCCUUUUUUUUUUUUUUUUUAAAAAAAAAAAAAAAAAUUGUAUUUUGGUGCUACAGGUCUGUUGAUGAAGAACUUGAGAAGAUCCGAAGAUUUAAUUGUAUCCUGGAGCACAGUGGUCUUCUAAAGUCCCGCAGUGGGAGAGACAAUGAGGAAGAGAGACCGGUCCCUGAUCACAAUGCUCCCGUAACCUUUGUGGACUUCAGUGAGAGAAGCUUGGUGGAAACGCUACAGAGGACUUCAAAUAUCAUCAAGAGCAUCGAGUCCCUCCUGUCAAAUAGGGCCUUUAGCCACAGAGGAGUAUGACGAAGGAGCUGGGUGCUAAACAAGGCACAGAAGCACUUAGCUAAAGGUUAAUGGUUUAAGGGUUACAGCCCUUGCGUUUCAUAGGCUUGUCUUCAACAUUAUACAACAUUACACAGUUUACUGUCCACUCUAAAGAAAUGAUUCUAGUUUACAGUUUCAUUCUUCAAUGAUUCAGUUAGAAUAACUAGACUUUUACUGGGUUGAGGGGAACCCUGCAGCCACCAGCUAUGCUGAGUUGCAGUAUUGGCACUAUGUGAAAUUUGUAGUGACUUGUGUGUUUGUACAGAAGUAUAUUGAGUGUAACUGGAAUAUUUGUAUUACUAUGGUAUUUGAGAUAACAGGAAAGUAGAUUUCAGUGGUACUGUAAUAUUCACUCACACACACACACACACACAUUUUCAGAACCGCUUGUCCCUUACGGGGUCACGGGGAACCGGAGCCUAACCCGGCAACACGGGGCGUAAGGCCGGAGGAGGAAGGGGAUACGCCCAGGACGGGACGCCAGUCCGCCGCAAGGCACCCCAAGCGGGACUUGAACCCCAGACCCACCGGAGAGCAGGACUGCGGUCCAACCCACUGCGCCACCGCACACUGUAUAUAUUCAGCUGUGUUAAUUGGUUUAUGUGUAAAAUAAAGUAACUUGAAAAACUCCUCA